UGUUGUCGUGGUACGCAAUGACCUGGUUCCAGAACGUGCUUACGUUGACAGGUGUCCCACUGCCUCCUCUCUGGGUACACUGUGACAGGAGUGACCCCCCUGGGUACUGUAUGGCUUGGUGCAGAGCCCAUCUCCACUGUCAACAAAGUCACUGCUAUCAAGCUUUACACUAUUCACAGCAAAGUGAAGGUGAUGACAGGAAGCGAGUGGGGAGAGAGACUGGGAAGGGGCGGCAAAGGACCCUGGCCGGGAAUCGAAACCCGGGUCAUCCGCAUGGUGGAGACCAAGCGCUAUGCGCAGUAACCUGUUUGGCUCCAUGCAGGUGGAGAACACCAUCGAGUCGCAGCGCAGCAUUGCCGAUGUCUUCAGGCGGAGCAACAUGGAGAAGAUCCUGCAGAUGCCACCACAGUCCUCUGAAGCUGCACUGCAAAAGAAGAUUGAAGAAGAUGCUCAUCCUGAGUUCAGAAGGUUAAAAAAAACUGCCACAAAAUGUAUCCAAUCA